CAACUCUGGUUUCUCUUCAAUCACGCACAAGUUUUCGCCUUUACUAAAGACUUCCGUGGAGAGCAACGCUUACGAGUUCAACGUAUUUUUGGACGGGCUUUGCUUCCCGGCAGAGC
rnacentral:snRNA from 1 species